rnacentral:rRNA from 1 species
GUGCCUAAUACAUGCAAGUCGAGCGAACAGAUGAGAAGCUUGCUUCUCUGAUGUUAGCGGCGGACGGGUGAGUAACACGUGGGUAACCUACCUAUAAGACUGGGAUAACUCCGGGAAACCGGGGCUAAUACCGGAUAAUAUUUUGAACCGCAUGGUUCAAUAGUGAAAGACGGUUUCGGCUGUCACUUAUAGAUGGACCCGCGCCGUAUUAGCUAGUUGGUAAGGUAAUGGCUACCAAGGCGACGAUACGUAGCCGACCUGAGAGGGUGAUCGGCCACACUGGAACUGAGACACGGUCCAGACUCCUACGGGAGGCAGCAGUAGGGAAUCUUCCGCAAUGGGCGAAAGCCUGACGGAGCAACGCCGCGUGAGUGAUGAAGGUCUUCGGAUCGUAAAACUCUGUUGUUAGGGAAGAACAAAUUUGUUAGUAACUGAACAAGUCUUGACGGUACCUAACCAGAAAGCCACGGCUAACUACGUGCCAGCAGCCGCGGUAAUCCGUAGGUGGCAAGCGUUAUCCGGAAUUAUUGUGCGUAAAGCGCGCGUAGGCGGUUUCUUAAGUCUGAUGUGAAAGCCCACGGCUCAACCGUGGAGGGUCAUUGGAAACUGGGAAACUUGAGUGCAGAAGAGGAGAGUGGAAUUCCAUGUGUAGCGGUGAAAUGCGCAGAGAUAUGGAGGAACACCAGUGGCGAAGGCGGCUCUCUGGUCUGUAACUGACGCUGAUGUGCGAAAGCGUGGGGAUCAAACAGGAUUAGAUACCCUGGUAGUCCACGCCGUAAACGAUGAGUGCUAAGUGUUAGGGGGUCUCCGCCCCUUAGUGCUGCAGCUAACGCAUUAAGCACUCCGCCUGGGGAGUACGACCGCAAGGUUGAAACUCAAAUGAAUUGACGG